rnacentral:lncRNA from 1 species
CCUCGAGUUCAGCUAUUUUGAUAGAAGGUAUGUUGGGGUCAUCCUCCUUGCAAACUACGCUUCUGGAUCGCGGUCUCACCCAUUUUCAGGAUCCCACCCGUGAUUUGUGCCAUAGCGAUGCAGAGGACAUCAAACACUGUCUGUUUAAGUGCCACCAUGUUGUGUACAUUUGGGACAAUCUGAAGACUAAUCACCUAUCUCCUUGGUGUUUCAGCUCGGUCUAGGACCUCAUUCAUCUCACCCCAUUUGU